CUUCUUGUGAAGGUGACCGAUCUUAGCUCUAGUGAUUCUCUGGUAUAUGGCAUACUCCUGGAUGAAAUGGGAAUAGAAAUUACCCGGAUGCGUCUGGCUCAGUCGUCACAAGGCAGAAAGAGGAAAGGAAUAGCAACAUUUAAUGUUCCUAAUAAGGCCUUUAAAAUAGCAAUAGAAGGCACAGAGAAAGGGAAUGUUUUCAGGCGUCAAUCAAAAGAACUCAUACAUCCAGCAUCUGUAUCCCUUCAAAUAAUUAAAAGUGACGGAAACCUGUAUAUUGAUAAAGACACGACCGUCAUCUGUAACAUCACAAAUAAAGGGUCUGCUGAUGAAACGUACCAGGUCCACUUUACUGACACUGCAGGAUUCACAGAUUCUACUGUACCUGCUACGGUUAGAGCUGGAAUGUCCAAAAUGGUUUCCUUGACAUUUCGUGGAAGAAGCACACAUAA